AGAGGUAGCGCUUCUGGGCGCUCGCGCCCUGCUCAGCUGCGGGGGCCGUUGAUAGAGAGGCCGACCGCGCCUGGUGUGCGCAGCCAGGCCGGGCCUCCUGGAAACGCCCCUGAGAAAUGAGCUCAUGCUGGAUGCGCGCGCUUCUUGGGCGCGCCUGCCCAGCGCAAAGCGAGCCCCGAAAGCAGAAAAUACUCGGGUUUUGAGGGGAUGAAAUGAGACAGCACCUGUGAAAACGGUUUGGAUAUUUUGAAGGCCUGCACUCAUGUAGGAGCAUGGGUGAAGAUGAUUACUGGGAGACAGCAAGAAGGGAGUCUUUAACAGCAAAUUCAUUGCAAAUUCUCAAUGCUUCACUGCUCAAUAAAGAAGUUCCAUUGCACA
rnacentral:lncRNA from 1 species